UCAUGGAAGACACAUUGGCAUAACACCUACAUACACAUUCCAACAGAGAUCUAAGCCAUUUUUAGAAGCCAUUAAAGCCAUUACAUUUAGUUCUGCAUAACUGGGUAUAUGAUAGCACUAGGCUCUUCAAAUACUAAUAGUGCAUCAUAAAUCAACAUGUUGUUGUGUCAAAAUCCAUUUGAUUAAGCUAACAAUAUUCAAGGGCUUGCUAAAGGGUUAACCUGCACCAGAUGACCAGGGAAAUAAUAUCCCUUUGAACCAAGCUAAAAGUCC
rnacentral:lncRNA from 1 species